GGAAGUAAAAGUCGUAACAAGGUCUCCGUUGGUGAACCAGCGGAGGGAUCAUUACCGAGUUUACAACUCCCAAACCCCUGUGAACAUACCAUUAUCGUUGCCUCGGCGGUGCCCGCUUCGGCGGCCCGCCAGAGGACCCAAACCCUUGAAUUUUUUAUUACAGUUAUCUUCUGAGUACAUGAUUAAAUCAAUCAAAACUUUCAACAACGGAUCUCUUGGCUCUGGCAUCGAUGAAGAACGCAGCGAAAUGCGAUAAGUAAUGUGAAUUGCAGAAUUCAGUGAAUCAUCGAAUCUUUGAACGCACAUUGCGCCCGCCAGUAUUCUGGCGGGCAUGCCUGUUCGAGCGUCAUUUCAACCCUCAAGCCCCCGGGCUUGGUGUUGGAGAUCGGCGGGCCCUUCGGGGCGCGCCGCCUCCCAAAUAUAGUGGCGGUCUCGCUGUAGCUUCCUCUGCGUAGUAGCACACCUCGCACUGGAAAACAGCGCGGCCACGCCGUUAAACCCCCCACUUCUGAAAGGUUGACCUCGGAUCAGGUAGGAAUACCCGCUGAACUUAAGCAUAUCAAUAAGCGGAGGA
rnacentral:rRNA from 1 species